rnacentral:sRNA from 1 species
UUUUUAGCUUGAGUGGUACAGUAUUCUAGUCAGCACAACUAUUCUAGAGGGCGGGGCUAAAAAUCCGUCGAAGGGCAUAUCGAUGAAGUUCUUUGUUUCGGCUUGCGACGCCCAGUCGUGGGUCCUUACAGGGAGUAAGAGGGAUGGGGCGAUCUGCAAUGGCAUGCAGGCGAUGACCCUACUCUCGUGGAGACAUGAUAUUCCAUAUUUUAAAAGACAUAUCAUGAUAAACCUGCUAUGUAUAUAUUACUAGAAGCAGAGUAGCCUGCCUUGAGUGAAGUAUGGCGGAUGAUAAGUUCAACUUGAGAUAUUAAAGGGCCCGAUAUAUCUUAAGUUCUGUUAUCGAAACCUAUUUUGCAAAAGAGGCUAAGGAAUAGAAUGGCUGCAGAGGAAAACUCCUAGACUGUUCUAAAAGAGGUAAGUUGUGGAUUACAGUGCGGACUAAGUGGCAAUCCAGUUUUAUCUUUGGCGACAAGAUGAUAAUAGAAUUAAAGGGAAACCGCUGUUAUGGCGACAGACAGUUUUUAUUAGGGAAAUCCUGCUGGACCUAAAGCCGUAAGAUUUACACAGUUUACUACCACUCUUAUA